rnacentral:rRNA from 1 species
ACGGUUACCUUGUUACGACUUAGCCCCAGUCACCGGUUUUACCUUAGGGCGCUGCUUACGCUCACGCACUUCAGGCACUCCCGGCUUCCAUGGCUUGACGGGCGGUGUGUACAAGGCCCGGGAACGUAUUCACCGCGCCAUGGCUGAUGCGCGAUUACUAGCGAAUCCAGCUUCAUGGAGUCGAGUUGCAGACUCCAAUCCGAACUGAGACAGGUUUUCGGGUUCUGCUCUGUGUCGCCACAUGGCCUCCCGCUGUACCUGCCAUUGUAACACGUGUGUCGCCCCGGACGUAAGGGCCGUGCUGAUUUGACGUCAUCCCCGCCUUCCUCACAGCUUGCGCCGGCAGUCUCGACAGAGUCCUCAACGCUACUUGUUAGCAACUGUCGAUAGGGGUUGCGCUCGUUAUGGCACUUAAGCCGACACCUCACGGCACGAGCUGACGACAACCAUGCAGCACCUCGUAGACGGCCCCGAAGGGCUACAGUCUUUCAACCGUAUUCCAUCUACGUUUGAGCCCGGGUAAGGUUCCUCGCGUAUCAUCGAAUUAAACCACAUGUUCCUCCGCUUGUGCGGGCCCCCGUCAAUUCCUUUGAGUUUCACCGUUGCCGGCGUACUCC